UUGAGAGAGACAGCCAAGCCCAAGCACAUCACUGCAAACCAGCGUCUCGCAGACUGCAGGCAAGCUGCCUGGCGGCCGAGGCUCUGCAGACCAUCCAUGACCAUGUGGUACCCGGGCUCCCCCUCCUCCGUGGUGGGGCUUGUACGAAGAGCACCCGUGAGGUUUCAGAAGAAAGCAAGGCCGUUUCUGAGCUUCUUCCGGCUUAAGCCUCAUGGUUUGGCCGAGAUACCCACAUUUUCUAUCGACUUUGAUGUUUUCUGAUUUUUAUUCACUUGGCCCGAGGGAUUCUUUUUCUUCCACCCUCCUGUCACGCUCCGCCCGCUUCCCUGAAGGAAUGAAAACCAGAUUGCGUGGUUUGGGCAGGAAAAGACUGGCCUGCUCACGCAAGCCACGGAUGUACAUUUCUGUCCUCCAGCCCCCUGACCCGCUGGGAACCUCCAGCUACCCAGGCCACAAGAGACAAUGAUCAUGUGGGUGAGGGGUAGGGGCUGAACAGUGGCGAGAGUUCCGUAGACCCAGCUCCUUGUGUAUUUGGCCAUUCAAGGGUGUGUGUGUGUGUGGGGGGGGGUGUCACUGAGCUUGUCAGAUCUCAAUUCCAGUUCAGCAAAAUGCAUGCGCUCCUGGACCGCUGUGGUGAUUCGGCUGCGCAGAAGAGAAGGGCCCUCCGCUCUGAAGAGGUCUCAGGAAGCUCUCAGAGAAAAGAGACUGAAAGGCAAUUACAGUGAAGCUGUUUAAUGUGGCCCAGACACUUGUACUGCAGGGCAAAGAGUUUGAAACAGAAUUUUGCUGUUACCUAGGCUAGUCUUCAAUUCACUCUGCAGCCCAGGUUGUCCUUGAACUUGCGAUUGCCUGGCCUCAGGUCCCUGUGGAGGGGAAUGCCGGGGCAGGCAGUGGAACUUCUCGGGGACCAGCUUGUUGACAGUGUGCCACCUUCACUGGGUGGCUUCCAAGAUCAUGGCCAUCGGCUGUGGGUGUCAAGGCUGGUGGACGGAGGAGAGAGAAUGAAGGCAUGCCAGCUUUGUCUCAGAAGGGACACCUCUGCUCACAUCCCAGGCGUGAGAACCAAUCCUGUGGCUCCAUCUUAAUGCUGCGUGUGUUGGGGGGGACUUGGGAGAGAUGGCCCCUGGCCGGCCACUGCGUUCCCAGUGUCAGUCCUGGACGCCGUGAAGGGAGGAAGGAAGUGGCUCCAGCAGCCCGUGGGUGAGACAUUCCUUGGCUUUGCCUACUGUUCCCAGAUUUUUCAUGAUUCCGGGAGACAGAGCUGGCAUCUCUAACCAGCCUUGGAGAGGGACAGGAUCCUUCUCAGGAACACUAUGAACCCCAGAAAGCCAGAGCCUCGUUUUCAGCUACCCCAGCCCUCUGGGUACAGGAGCCACCUCCAGAGGGGGAAGCCUGGGCUGGAACCGAAAACUCCAUGAAGUACCACCAACAAGGCACAUGCCUGUAGGGAAGGAAAGGAGGGAAAAGUCACCUGACGGGGGGUGGGGGGCAGAGGCGACGUUUGUAAUGGCUUGUGACACAUGCAAUUCUGACGAGUGACGUAGGUUUCUGAUGGCUUUAGGGGUGGUAGGAAGAAAUUGGGAGAAGAAGUUGGAAAGUAGGGAAGACUCAGGACUUCUUAAGGGGGAUGUGAAUUGGUGCAGAUUUUAGCUGCUACGUAGGAAGGAAGUCAAGGAGACCCUGGGAUGCAGUAGGUCAAGUGGAGGACUCAGGGCCGGCAGGCAAGCUUCUUAAGGCUUCUGGGUAGGGGUGAGGUCAUAAACUGUACCAGGACCUCCUUUUUUUUUUUUUCUUAGGAGGCUUUUCCCAGCUGUCUUUGCGCUGACACGAGAUCCUUUAGACCUCAGGGCAGUUCCGAAGGUGGUCUGGGUGUAGUCACUGUCUGUAACUGCACAGAGGCCAGAGGACUUUGGAACGGGAAUGUUUUGCCCUGGUCUCAAGAAGCAGUUCAGCUCCACUUGAAGGCUUGUGGUCCUGGGAAAGGGUCAGGCUAAGGUGGGAAGAGAGCCAGGGAGAGGGGGACUCGCUCCACUUCACUGGCUGGGACCUGGGUGUCUACAGUAGUAGGCACCUUCUGGACCUUGGUUUCCCCACCUGCUCAUGGUAAAAUGAGAUCACUGCCUUGGCCUACCCACAGCUGUAUUUGAUAAAUGCUAGUUUCCCUCAACUUGGGAUUGGCAUGGGUGGGAGGCAGGGUGGAACAGUGAUCAGCUGGGCCGAUUCCGGGGAAGCAACUUAGAUCCUUCAAACCUGGCCCUGUACUGCCUGGGAGGAGCGUCGUUCCUUCUCAGACCUCCCUGGUCAUCCCUCCUCCACCUCCCGCCUGCCCCUUUUCCCUCAGGAGGGACAGGUAAGGCCCCAGGGACUGAGCCAUUCCUCCCUGUUUGCACGUCGAGUGCCACCCAAUCAACCUGGCAGGAGUUAGCAGGCCUCUAGAGGCUGUGGGCCACUGGGACGGAGGUGCUUGGCACAUGAUAUCAAGGGAAGCUGGGAGGAGGGCCUCAAGCCCAGGCUGCCCCAGGACAAGGGCAAGAAUCCAGGUCAUCAGCAGGUGCGCCCUGCUUAGCUUGCCAUCGCCCCUCCUUUUGUUGGCUUUCCUGGUACCAGGGUCGACAAGAGCUCGUAGGACAGAGCUUUCUUGCCAAAGUAUGUGAGAAGGGGGUGUCGGGGCCCCCUGGCUCCUCUGCUGUUCUUGGAAGGAGGCUGAACAGACUCUUGGCCUCCUGUCUCUGGACUUGGCAGGUGCCAGUGGCACUCCAGCCUGAUCUUGGUUCUAAAUCUGGCCCUGCAGCCCAUGGACUGGGUGAUGUGUGUGGUACUAAUUCCUUCCAGCCUCAGUUUCUUCCAGCUCUCGGGUUCCUUGGCUGUCAGAUGGGAGUAACGUCAUCAGUAUUUUGAGAGCUGAAUUGUUAACGGUUGCAGAGUUAACAUGGUGACAGACACAAAUCAGGAGCUGCUGAAGCACCGGUUCCUCUCCUUCCCUCCCUUGUUCCUGCAUCCAUUCUGUGUCUUAUCUAUUUCUUCCUCCCCUCUGUUCCUCCUUUCCCCCUGUCUCCCUUUCUCCCUCCCUCUCACCUUCCCUCCCUUUUUCUCUCCCUCUUUCCCUUCUCUUUCUUUCCAGUCAGAGUUUGAAAUGGGAGACCUGUUGGCAUAUAGAGGAAGCCUUCCCUCUCCCUUCCCCUGCUUCAUAGAAUCCCUCUGGACCCCAGGCCAGGAGAUUGAGGAAUAGAGGGAACUGAUGACCUGACUCCUGAGUGCAGAACUCUAAUCUGGAGAUGAUGUCCAUUGGAGCACGGACCACCCUGGGGACAGACUCUUCUGGAACCCUUGUCUUUGGGCCUCACUGAAUUGGGGACAAGCAGGUUGGCCGGCUGGAGUAGGAGGAGGGAUGGGAACUGGCAGGCUUGGGCUUUCUCCUUUCCCUAAGACUAGUGUCUUCCAUCAAAACUCAACAGUCAGGAAUGGCCCAGCUCACUCUGCCAGCCAAUUUAGAAAGAGCCAGAAGCUAAUUCACACUCAAAUGUUAAUAGAAAUAAACGAAUCAAUGA